GGACAGUCAUCGCCGAGUCCCCGUACGGCGCGAGCCAGGGGAGCCGGGGACCCACUUUGUGCAGUCCCUGGGGUGAAUCGGACGCCCGCGUGUACGCGAGGGGGUCCGUAGGAGACCUUCCUGCUCCGAACCCGUCAGCUAACCCGGUAGGCGAGAGGGAAGGAAAGG
rnacentral:sRNA from 2 species